AUUGAACGCUGGCGGCAGGCCUAACACAUGCAAGUCGAACGGUAACAGGAAGAAGCUUGCUUCUUUGCUGACGAGUGGCGGACGGGUGAGUAAUGUCUGGGAAACUGCCUGAUGGAGGGGGAUAACUACUGGAAACGGUAGCUAAUACCGCAUAACGUCGCAAGACCAAAAAGGGGGACCUUCGGGCCUCUUGCCAUCGGAUGUGCCCAGAUGGGAUUAGCUAGUAGGUGGGGUAACGGCUCACCUAGGCGACGAUCCCUAGCUGGUCUGAGAGGAUGACCAGCCACACUGGAACUGAGACACGGUCCAGACUCCUACGGGAGGCAGCAGUGGGGAAUAUUACACAAUGGGCGCAAGCCUGAUGCAGCCAUGCCGCGUGUAUGAAGAAGGCCUUCGGGUUGUAAAGUACUUUCAGCGGGGAGGAAGGGAGUAAAGUUAAUACCUUGGCUCAUUGACGUUACCCGCAGAAGAAGCACCGGCUAACUCCGUG
rnacentral:rRNA from 1 species